AGGGAUGUGGCUCAAUCGGUAGAGUGCUUGCCUAGCAUGCAAGAGGCCUGGGUUCAAUCCUCAGCACCGCAG